UACAGAGGGUGCAAGCGUUAAUCGGAAUUACUGGGCGUAAAGGGCUCGUAGGCGGCCAACUAAGUCGGACGUGAAAUCCCCAGGCUCAACCUGGGAACUGCGUCCGAUACUGGAUGGCUUGAAUCCGGGAGAGGGAUGCAGAAUUCCAGGUGUAGCGGUGAAAUGCGUAGAUAUCUGGAGGAAUACCGGUGGCGAAGGCGGCAUCCUGGACCGGCAUUGACGCUGAGGAGCGAAAGCGUGGGGAGCGAACAGG
rnacentral:rRNA from 1 species